GAUGAACGCUAGCGACAGGCCUAACACAUGCAAGUCGAGGGGCAGCACAUGAGUAGCAAUACGAUGGUGGCGACCGGCGCACGGGUGAGUAACACGUAUGCAACCUGCCUGUAAGAGGGGAAUAACCCGGAGAAAUUCGGACUAAUACCGCAUAAUACCACGAGACUGCAUGGUUUUGUGGUUAAACAUUUAUGGCUUACAGAUGGGCAUGCGUAUGAUUAGAUAGUUGGUAGGGUAACGGCCUACCAAGUCUACGAUCAUUAGGGGUUCUGAGAGGAAGGUCCCCCACACUGGUACUGGGACACGGACCAGACUCCUACGGGAGGCAGCAGUGAGGAAUAUUGGUCAAUGGGCGAGAGCCUGAACCAGCCAAGUCGCGUGAAGGAAGAAGGUUCUAUGGAUUGUAAACUUCUUUUGCAGGGGAAUAAAGGACGGUACGUGUACUGUUUUGUAUGUACCUUGCGAAUAAGGAUCGGCUAACUCCGUGCCAGCCGCCGCCGUAAUAC
rnacentral:rRNA from 1 species